rnacentral:rRNA from 1 species
AGCACCGGCUAACUCCGUGCCAGCAGCCGCGGUAAUACGGAGGGUGCGAGCGUUAAUCGGAAUUACUGGGCGUAAAGCGCAUGCAGGUGGUUUGUUAAGUCAGAUGUGAAAGCCCGGGGCUCAACCUCGGAAUUGCAUUUGAAACUGGCAGACUAGAGUACUGUAGAGGGGGGUAGAAUUUCAGGUGUAGCGGUGAAAUGCGUAGAGAUCUGAAGGAAUACCGGUGGCGAAGGCGGCCCCCUGGACAGAUACUGACACUCAGAUGCGAAAGCGUGGGGAGCAAACAGGAUUAGAUACCCUGGUAGUCCACGCCGUAAACGAUGUCUACUUGGAGGUUGUGGCCUUGAGCCGUGGCUUUCGGAGCUAACGCGUUAAGUAGACCGCCUGGGGAGUACGGUCGCAAGAUUAAAACUCAAAUGAAUUGACGGGGGCCCGCACAAGCGGUGGAGCAUGUGGUUUAAUUCGAUGCAACGCGAAGAACCUUACCUACUCUUGACAUCCAGAGAACUUUCCAGAGAUGGAUUGGUGCCUUCGGGAACUCUGAGACAGGUGCUGCAUGGCUGUCGUCAGCUCGUGUUGUGAAAUGUUGGGUUAAGUCCCGCAACGAGCGCAACCCUUAUCCUUGUUUGCCAGCGAGUAAUGUCGGGAACUCCAGGGAGACUGCCGGUGAUAAACCGGAGGAAGGUGGGGACGACGUCAAGUCAUCAUGGCCCUUACGAGUAGGGCUACACACGUGCUACAAUGGCGCAUACAGAGGGCUGCCAACUUGCGAAAGUGAGCGAAUCCCAAAAAGUGCGUCGUAGUCCGGAUUGGAGUCUGCAACUCGACUCCAUGAAGUCGGAAUCGCUAGUAAUCGUGGAUCAGAAUGCCACGGUGAAUACGUUCCCGGGCCUUGUACACACCGCCCGUCACACCAUGGGAGUGGGCUGCAAAAGAAGUAGGUAGUUUAACCUUCGGGGGGACGCUUACCACUUUGUGGUUCAUGACUGGGGUGAAGUCGUAACAAGGUAGCGCUAGGGGAACCUGGCGCUGGAUCACCUCCUUA